AAAACAAUCCUACGGGAGGCAGCAGUAAGGAAUAUUGGUCAAUGGAGGCAACUCUGAACCAGCCAUGCCGCGUGCAGGAAGACGGCCCUCUGGGUUGUAAACUGCUUUUAUUCGGGAAUAAACCUCAUUACGUGUAAUGAGCUGAAUGUACCGAAGGAAUAAGGAUCGGCUAACUCCGUGCCAGCAGCCGCGGUAAUACGGAGGAUCCAAGCGUUAUCCGGAUUUAUUGGGUUUAAAGGGUGCGUAGGCGGCUUAUUAAGUCAGGGGUGAAAGACGGUGGCUCAACCAUCGCAGUGCCCUUGAUACUGAUGAGCUUGAAUGAACUAGAGGUAGGCGGAAU
rnacentral:rRNA from 1 species